GACGAACGCUGGCGGCGCGCCUAACACAUGCAAGUCGAGCGAUGAAAUUUUAACCGAUCUCUUCGAAGAGAAGAUAAAAUGGAUUAGCGGCGGACGGGUGAGUAACACGUGAGAAACCUGCCUUUCACAAGGGGAUAGCCUCGGGAAACCGGGAUUAAUACCCUAUGACACAUUUCCUUCGCAUGGAAGAAAUGUUAAAACUCCGGUGGUGAAAGAUGGUCUCGCGCCUGAUUAGCUAGUUGGUGGGGUAACGGCCCACCAAGGCCAUGAUCAGUAACCGGCCUGAGAGGGUGAACGGUCACAUUGGAACUGAGACACGGUCCAAACUCCUACGGGAGGCAGCAGUGGGGAAUAUUGCACAAUGGAGGAAACUCUGAUGCAGCGACGCCGCGUGAGCGAUGAAGGCUUUCGAGUCGUAAAGCUCUGUCCUAUGGGAAGAUAAUGACGGUACCAUAGGAGGAAGCCCCGGCUAACUACGUG
rnacentral:rRNA from 1 species